rnacentral:rRNA from 1 species
AACGAACGCUGGCGGCAUGCCUAACACAUGCAAGUCGAACGAGACCUUCGGGUCUAGUGGCGCACGGGUGCGUAACGCGUGGGAAUCUGCCCAAAGGUUCGGAAUAACUCGGGGAGACCCGAGCUAAUACCGGAUGAUGUCUUCGGACCAAAGAUUUAUCGCCUUUGGAUGAGCCCGCGUCGGAUUAGCUUGUUGGUGAGGUAAAAGCUCACCAAGGCGACGAUCCGUAGCUGGUCUGAGAGGAUGAUCAGCCACACUGGGACUGAGACACGGCCCAGACUCCUACGGGAGGCAGCAGUGGGGAAUAUUGGACAAUGGGCGCAAGCCUGAUCCAGCAAUGCCGCGUGAGUGAUGAAGGCCUUAGGGUUGUAAAGCUCUUUUACCCGGGAUGAUAAUGACAGUACCGGGAGAAUAAGCCCGGCUAACUCCGUGCCAGCAGCCGCGGUAAUACGGAGGGGCUAGCGUUGUCGGAAUUACUGGCGUAAAGCGCACGUAGGC